rnacentral:lncRNA from 1 species
CCUGCGUGAGCUCGCUUCUUGGAACAAGACCCUCUGUUUGAAGCUUUUGUGGCUGCUACACGCUGAAUCUGAGUCCCUCUGGGCUUCAUGGACUAAAAAGCACCGUCUUAAGCAUCUUUCCCUUUGGAGCAUAGACGAACAAAAGCAAUCCUCAUGGACUUGGCAAUCGAUUCUAAAGCUGAGACCCUUGGCUGAACGCUUCAUAAAAUGUGAGGUGGGAAAUGGCCAGUUAGCUAGCUUCUGGUAUGAUUCGUGGAACCAUCUAGGACCCUUGAUAAAAU